rnacentral:lncRNA from 1 species
UUUCUUCUGCAGAACUACUGGCCAUGACGCUCAGGUAUCUGUCUUCUGUAGACCUCAUGCAGGAUAUUGCACUCUCCUUCCGGGUGGGCAUAUCCACUGCACGCCUGGCUGUCAGAGUCACAUGCAAGGCACUGUGGCACAGGCUUCAGACAAUAUACAUGCCCAAGCCAGACGCUGCUGCAUGGCUGCGCACUGCGGAAGGAUCCGGCCGCACAUGGCAGU